rnacentral:rRNA from 2 species
UGGCUUAAUUUGACUCAACGCGGGGAAUCUUACCGGGUCCGGACACACUGAGGAUUGACAGACAGUUGUCUUUCCCUCCCUUCGGGGUGGGAUUACAAAAGAUAACAGAUCUUUCAUGAUCAUGUGAUGGGUGGUGCAUGGCCGUUCUUAGUUCGUGGAGUGAUCUGUCUGCUUAAUUGCGUUUCAAAUUUUAUAUUUGUUAACAUGCGAGUCUUCAAUGACGGCCGCUCCACCUUAUAGACAUUAUAUGAUAUGCACAUUUGUGUAUUUGAUUAUAACUUGUCUGGAGUCUGGCUCGAUUUUUUUGACUCAAUUGAACGCAACGGACGUGAUUGCAAGUCCUUGUUGAACAAAUUAUAUAUAUACUACUUCAUCAUUAGUAUAUAUAGUUCGCUUCUCAUGUCGUAGCAGUCAAACGGGCGGGCGUCUUAAUUGGCGCGGUCACGAGGCUUAAUAUGCUGCGGCAGGGAAAACUUGGGCGACCGCUGUAAUACUUCUCUCUUAAACCAGAGGAAGAUUGCGGCAAUAACAGG